rnacentral:rRNA from 1 species
AGAGCGAACGCUGGCGGCAGGCCUAACACAUGCAAGUCGAGCGCCCCGCAAGGGGAGCGGCAGACGGGAGAGUAACACGUGGGAACGUACCCUUUGGUUCGGAACAACACAGGGAAACUUGUGCUAAUACCGGAUAAGCCCUUACGGGGAAAGAUUUAUCGCCAAAGGAUCGGCCCGCGUCUGAUUAGCUUGUUGGUGAGGUAACGGCUCACCAAGGCUACGAUCAGUAGCUGGUCUGAGAGGAUGAUCAGCCUCACUGGGACUGAGACACGGCCCAGACUCCUACGGGAGGCAGCAGUGGGGAAUAUUGGACAAUGGGCGCAAGCCUGAUCCAGCCAUGCCGCGUGGAUGAUGAAGGCCCUAGGGUUGUAAAGUCCUUUCGACGGGGAAGAUAAUGACGGUACCCGUAGAAGAAGCCCCGGCUAACUUCGUGCCAGCAGCCGC